rnacentral:rRNA from 1 species
CUGCCGGACGACGUGCUCGUGGAGAUCCUCGUCCGCCUGCCAGCCCGUUACAUCGCCGGUUGCCGCGCCGUGUGCAGGGCCUGGCGCUCCGCCAUAUCCCACCCGAUCUUCGACCGCGUCCACUCCAGUCGGCCAACCGCCGUCGCCAAGAUCACGGCUGAACACAAAAUCGAACACCAUGGCGUCGAAGGUGGCUGGAUUCAGUGUCGCUCUGUGAACAGAGUGAUCGUCGUCGACUUCACCGGCGUCGGCCCGCAGAGAACGCCGUUCCCCCGCGCCCUCUGCUUCACAUCGCCUUUGUCAACGUUGGUCAUGGGCUCCUGGGAUGGGGUAGUGUGCCUACAGCGCGAGGAAUGGCCACCUCAUCCUAGUUAUGGCAACGGCUUCCACAUCCAUCAGUAUGUGCUCUGGAACCCCCUCACCAUGGCCUGCGCAACCGUUGGCCCGCCGUCUCGCGACGGCGGCAUCAUCGGCGGCUACGUGCACCCGGAGACAAGGCGCUUCCACCUCCUGCAUGCUUCCGGCGAAACUUAUCACGGUCCCUGCCCGACUAUCUUCCGGAUUCUAAGGGUCGGCGAUGCCGUCUGGCGUGAGCUUCGCCUCCAGGAGGAGAGCUCUGCAGAUGCAGAAGCGGCGCCUCCAAGGAUCAUUAUGAACAGAAACCCUGGCUGCGUUAGGCUACACGACAACCUGCAUUGGCUGGUAGAGUGGAUUGGGUCGGGAACGUCGCCGGUGCGGCUGCUCGCGUUCGACACGACGCGCGAGAAGUUCUGGUCGCUGGAGACACCAGAGCGCCAUGGACGACCAUUCCAUCUAAAGACGACGCGGAUCAGCGUGCUGCCCUGCGGGAAGCUCUGCCUCUUCCCCGUCGAGCAGUCCUCCAGCACCAUGGAGGCGUGGAUGGAGGUGUGGGUGCUCGAAGACUACCCCGGCGGUCCCCGAGGGAGCUGGCGGUGGCGGCUCAAGGAAAGGAUCAGCCUGGUCACGUGGGAAGGAUUCGACCUGCGGAUGUUCUUCGAGAUCAACCAGAUAGAGACGGUGGAGGAUGGUGAGGAGGGCGAAGAGGUCUUGUGCCUCAAGCAGGCCAACGGCAGCAUCGACGCGUACAACUUCCGGCGCAAAACGUGGCGCACCGUUGCCUGUGAAACAUUUGUUUACACGCAUCUGGUCAUGCACAGGGAGAGCGUCCUGCAAGGUCAAGCAAGCUUCGGAAGCGCGACAGGGCCUCUUUGGAAGUAUGUCGACUGGUAUGGGCAACGUUUCUAUUACCUG